UGGAUGAUGUGGAUUAAUUCGAUAGCAACGCAAGAACCUUACUACCCUUGACAUGUCCGGAACUUGCCAGAGAUGGCUUGGUGCCCGAAAGGGAAUCGGAACACAGGUGCUGCAUGGCUGUCGUCAGCUCGUGUCGUGAGAUGUUGGGUUAAGUCCCGCAACGAGCGCAACCCUUAUCAUUAGUUGCUACGCAAGGGCACUCUAAUGAGACUGCCGGUGACAAACCGGAGGAAGGUGGGAUGACGUCAAGUCCUCAUGGCCCUUAUGUCCAGGGCUACACACGUGCUACAAUGGUCGCUACAGAGUGACGCGAAGCCGCGAGGUGGAGCAAAUCGCAGAAAGCGACCUUAGUUCGGAUUGGAGUCUGAAACCCGACUCCAUGAAGGUGGCAUCGCUAGUAAUCGCGCAUCAGCAUGGCGCGGUGAAUACGUUCCCGGGCCUU
rnacentral:rRNA from 1 species